UGUAUGUACCUUAUGAAUAAGGAUCGGCUAACUCCGUGCCAGCAGCCGCGGUAAUACGGAGGAUCCGAGCGUUAUCCGGAUUUAUUGGGUUUAAAGGGUGCGUAGGCGGCCUUUUAAGUCAGCGGUGAAAGUCUGUGGCUCAACCAUAGAAUUGCCGUUGAAACUGGGGGGCUUGAGUAUGUUUGAGGCAGGCGGAAUGCGUGGUGUAGCGGUGAAAUGCAUAGAUAUCACGCAGAACCCCGAUUGCGAAGGCAGCCUGCCAAGCCAUUACUGACGCUGAUGCACGAAAGCGUGGGGAUCAAACAGGAUUAGAUACCCUGGUAGUCCACGCAGUAAACGAUGAUCACUAGCUGUUUGCGAUACACUGUAAGCGGCACAGCGAAAGCGUUAAGUGAUCCACCUGGGGAGUACGCCGGCAACGGUGAAACUCAAAGGAAUUGACGGGGGCCCGCACAAGCGGAGGAACAUGUGGUUUAAUUCGAUGAUACGCGAGGAACCUUACCCGGGUUUGAACGCAUUCGGACCGAGGUGGAAACACCUUUUCUAGCAAUAGCCGUUUGCGAGGUGCUGCAUGGUUGUCGUCAGCUCGUGCCGUGAGGUGUCGGCUUAAGUGCCAUAACGAGCGCAACCCUUGCCACUAGUUACUAACAGGUUAGGCUGAGGACUCUGGUGGGACUGCCAGCGUAAGCUGCGAGGAAGGCGGGGAUGACGUCAAAUCAGCACGGCCCUUACAUCCGGGGCGACACACGUGUUACAAUGGCGUGGACAAAGGGAGGCCACCUGGCGACAGGGAGCGAAUCCCCAAACCACGUCUCAGUUCGGAUCGGAGUCUGCAACCCGACUCCGUGAAGCUGGAUUCGCUAGUAAUCGCGCAUCAGCCAUGGCGCGGUGAAUACGUUCCCGGGCCUUGUACACACCGCCCGUCAAGCCAUG
rnacentral:rRNA from 1 species